GGGCGGAGCGGCGGGCCGGGCGGGCUGCGAGGACGGGGGCAGGGUGACUGCUGCUGCCGGGUGGUCCCCUCCUCAGGCCGCCCUUUCCCUGCGGGUGGGAACUCCAGAUGGACGAGGGCCCACCCCACCCGGCGCUUCCCUGUGCAGCUCGGGGUCGGGGCGGGCGGCGAGGGCAGCGGCUCCCCGGCGCCCCUACCUUACCUUCCCUGACUUUCUCGUCCGCCAUCUUGCUGCGGAGCCGGUCGCCUGGGAGAUGCCUAACGAUAACCUCGGCCGCGGAGUCCCGGCCUGCUCAGCGCCCCGGGCGAGCCUGGCCUGGGGGAGGGGCCGCUCCGAAUCCCGGGGGAGGAAGACCCUUGGGCGGGGCGGGGAGGAGGCUCCGAGCGCGCGCCCUGUCCCCGCUUCCCGCCACGACCCUCGCGCUGGGGGAAGACCAGAGGCGCCGUCUGCCACCCGGCCCCCAGCCUUGUCCCUCCAGACCCGAGGCCGGAGCCGCACUUGUCCCGGGCCUAGCAGUGUUGCUUCAUCACACGGUCCCCAACCCCUCCUUUCCCUUAUUUCUCAUCCAUUUGGGGACAGCACGCGCGCGCAGACACCCCUCGCCCCCUCCUGUCCUGUUUGUGCGACGUGGCUUUGCCCGAUUUUUGUUGUUAGCUGCAGAUUUUGAAAAGCGCCGGAGAGCUAGGUGAAGAGCUGGGCUCCCAAGGGGGUGAUAGAAUCAGCCCGCGGCCCAGCUUCCUCCGGCUUCCCAUUCACAGCCCGUCUCCCGCCGGGAAGCGGCCUGGCUGCCGCAGAACGGCCGCGCCUGCCUUCCCGGUUUCUCCCGUC